CUCAUAUAUACUGGAUAUCAAAGAUUACUUAUUAACAAACCAACACGUUGAAACUGAUGUCACAAAUAUAGACUUAAAUGUCUUCUUGUCCAUAUUUAGUACACAUGCUCAAGCUGUUAUUUGCUACUUCCUCUUACUAUCUGUGAUGCUAUCAUCAUAUCUUUUCCCAUGUGGAAAAGAAAUCUAUACUUUGUCUCAUAUGUAUAUUUUAAUUAUUUCAGAAUUUCAGUGAAAUUCUAAAACAGUCUAGUU